UACGUAGGGGGCAAGCGUUGUCCGGAAUCAUUGGGCGUAAAGCGCGUGUAGGCGGCCUUGUAAGUCCGUUCUGAAAGCCCGGGGCUCAACCCCGGGAGGCGGAUGGAUACUGCAAGGCUCGAGUACGGAAGAGGCGAGUGGAAUCCCGGUGUAGCGGUGGAAAUGCGCAGAUAUCGGGAGGAACACCAAUGGCGAAGGCAG
rnacentral:rRNA from 1 species